CCACUAUCUAGCACAGAAAAACUGUCACUUGCUGAAGGAGAACCUUUGAGUCAGGAUGACAGUACCAGAUACAGAAGCUUAGUGGGAGCACUUCAGUACUUAACGUUAACAAGGCCUGACAUUUCCUUUGCUGUUAACAAAGUUUGCCAGUUCCUUCAUGCUCCCACCAAAACUCAUUGGACUGCUGCAAAACGCAUAGUGAGAUAUGUGAAAGAUACUAUGAAUCUUGGUCUUACUUUCAGCAAGUCCUCCUCCACUCUUGUUAGUGCUUUUUCUGUCUCUGACUGGGCAGGAUGUCUAGAUGACAGACGCUCUACUGGUGGUUUUGCAAUAUUCUUUGGGCCAAAUCUGAUAUCCUGGUGUGCAAAGAAACAGGCCACUGUGUCAAGGUCAAGUACAGAAGCUGAGUAUAAAGCACUAUCGAAUGCCACAACAGAGAUCAUUUGGGUUCAGUCCAUGUUGAGAGAGCUUGGUGUGAAACACAUGCAAGUCCCAUGUCUAUGGUGUGAUAACCUUGGUGCUACCUAUUUAUCUGCU
rnacentral:rRNA from 1 species